rnacentral:rRNA from 1 species
CCCUUAGUAACGGCGAGCGAAAAGGGAAGAGUCCAGCGCCAAGUCUUGACGCCAAAGCGUUCAAGAGAUGCGGCGUUAAUGUAUUAUCGCAUCGUACAUUGUUGCCUGUUUCAAGUUCCCUUGACAGGGACAUCCAGAGCGGGUGCUAGGCCCAUAGAGGCAGGGAACCAGUGUACGCAGAUAAUGCAUUCUAGAGUCAGGUUGCUUGAGAGUGCAGCUUAAAGUGGGUGGUAAACUCCAUCUAAGGCUAAAUAUGACAGCGAGACCGAUAGCAAACAAGUACCGUGAGGGAAAGUUGCAAAGCACUUUGAAGAGAGAGUUCAACAGUACGUGAAACCACUGGGAGGCAAACAGAUGGAACCACGAAGUUGCGCCUCGCUCGAUUCAAUCAUUGGUACUGGUUACCGGUUCUUGUGUGGAUCUUUUCGGAGAUUAGCAAGUGUCGUGGAACUGGUUUCAAUGGUGCAUUUCGUGUGAGGAUGCUAAGCCACGUUCGAUUAGAGUUGGGACGGCCGUAGGACAGAAUUCAAGGAAGGUGACCGGAAAGUGCUUGCAUUUUUCGGUGUUAUAGCCUUGAAUUGGUACCGUCGCCUAACGAACUGAUCGAUAGAAAUUCUCCUUUUAGGAGUCAAACUAUGUCUGCCUAUAGCCGUUAGUCAACAUUUCGAAAUGUUCUUUACGUAUCUUUGGUGCGGAAAGGCGCUUCAACAAUGUUGGUUAAUGGCUGUUUGCGUGACAUGGUGGAACUGUGGCACGAGUAGGUCGGUUUCCCUCUGACCC